rnacentral:rRNA from 1 species
GAUGAACGCUGGCGGCGUGCCUAAUACAUGCAAGUCGAGCGAACAGACGAGGAGCUUGCUCCUCUGACGUUAGCGGCGGACGGGUGAGUAACACGUGGAUAACCUACCUAUAAGACUGGGAUAACUUCGGGAAACCGGAGCUAAUACCGGAUAAUAUAUUGAACCGCAUGGUUCAAUAGUGAAAGUCGGUUUUGCUGUCACUAAUAGAUGGAUCCGCGCUGCAUUAGCUAGUUGGUAAGGUAACGGCUUACCAAGGCAACGAUGCGUAACCGACCUGAGAGGGUGAUCGGCCACACGAGAAGUGAGACAGGGACAAGACUCCUACGGGAGGCAGCAGUAGGGAAUCUUAGGCAAUGGGCGAAAGCCUGACGGAGCAACGGCGAGUGGGUGAUGAAGGUGUUCGGUUCGUAAAACUCUGUUAUUAGGGAAGAACAAAUGUGUAAGUAACUAUGCACGUAUUGACGGUACCUAAUCAGAAAGCCACGGCUAACUACGUG